rnacentral:rRNA from 1 species
AAUCAACGCUGGCGGCGUGCCUAACACAUGCAAGUCGAACGGUAAGGCCCUUUCGGGGGUACACGAGCGGCGAACGGAUGAGUAACACGUGGGUGACCUGCCUUUAGCUCUGGGAUAAGCCUGGGAAACUGGGUCUAAUACCGGAUACGACUCCGCGGUGCAUGCUGUGGGGUGGAAAGCCUUGUGCGGCUGGAGAUGGGCCCGCGGCCUAUCAGCUUGUUGGUGGGGUGAUGGCCACCAAGGCGACGACGGGUAGCCGGCCUGAGAGGGCGACCGGCCACACUGGGACUGAGACACGGCCCAGACUCCUACGGGAGGCAGCAGUGGGGAAUCUUGCGCAAUGGGCGAAAGCCUGACGCAGCGACGCCGCGUGAGGGAUGACGGCCU